rnacentral:piRNA from 1 species
GGCCUCGGUAUUUAGUAACAGAAGACCAA